rnacentral:snRNA from 1 species
UUGCUUCAGCAGCACAUAUACUAAAAUUGGAAACGAUUAGCACGGCUCUUGAGCAAAGCUAACACACCAAUCUGUGAAGUUUUCUUUUUUUUA